rnacentral:rRNA from 1 species
CUCGGUGACUAUACCACGGGGGAAACACCUCUUCCCAUUCCGAACAGAGAAGUUAAGCCCCGUUGGGCCGAUGGUACUGCUCCUUUCAGGUGUGGGAGAGUAGGUCGUUGCCGGGC